AGAGGGAUAGCCCAGAGAAAUUUGGAUUAAUACCUCAUAGCAUCAUGUUCCGGCAUCGGGAUAUGAUUAAAGUCACAACGGUGGAAGAUGAGCAUGCGUCCCAUUAGCUAGUUGGUAAGGUAACGGCUUACCAAGGCUACGAUGGGUAGGGGUCCUGAGAGGGAGAUCCCCCACACUGGUACUGAGACACGGACCAGACUCCUACGGGAGGCAGCAGUGAGGAAUAUUGGUCAAUGGACGCAAGUCUGAACCAGCCAUGCCGCGUGCAGGAUGACGGUCCUAUGGAUUGUAAACUGCUUUUGUACGGGAAGAAACACUCCUACGUGUAGGAGCUUGACGGUACCGUAAGAAUAAGGAUCGGCUAACUCCGUGCCAGCAGCCGCGGUAAUACGGAGGAUCCAAGCGUUAUCCGGAAUCAUUGGGUUUAAAGGGUCCGUAGGCGGUUUGGUAAGUCAGUGGUGAAAGCCCAUCGCUCAACGGUGGAACGGCCAUUGAUACUGCCGAACUUGAAUUAUUGGGAAGUAACUAGAAUAUGUAGUGUAGCGGUGAAAUGCUUAGAGAUUACAUGGAAUACCAAUUGCGAAGGCAGGUUACUACCAAUGGAUUGACGCUGAUGGACGAAAGCGUGNGUAGCGAACAGGAUUAGAUACCCUGGUAGUCCACGCCGUAAACGAUGGAUCCUAGCUGUUGGUGGCAACAUCAGUGGCU
rnacentral:rRNA from 1 species